AUACCUAUGUUCGGUACUAAAUCUCUGUAUUUAACUGAUACUUCAAAGAAGAUGCAGACCUUGGUGUGGAUGGUAUUUGAAUUGGUAGUGGAGAAUAUUUGGGUCGAGCUGUGUGCUCAGAUUAUCACCACAGGUCGAUUAAAUAUUAGGGUUAUUUGCUCUGCUUCUUACGUGCAAAUAAUGGCGAAGUUUGAGGGAUGACUUGCUGACUAAGGAACAUGGCUGCAAAUCUAUGAAAAAUUACUUGAAGUAUCUUCCCCUU